rnacentral:piRNA from 1 species
AAGGAUCCCAGCUCUCGGGAUGGC